rnacentral:lncRNA from 1 species
AAGUAACUCCUCCUAUUUCUUCAAAUCUAAUUCUUCUAUUUUGUGUCUGUAACCACUUCCUUCCUGACUGCUUGUUUUUGGUCCUUUUGCUUGCCUUCUCUAAACUUUCUAGACAUUGCAGUAUCUGAAUUGCUCUCCAUUCUGCUGAAUCUAUUUUCAACAUGUCUUUGUCCAUCUGAGCCACCAGCAUCUCCCACUUUGUACAACUAAAAAUGAAGCCAUUGUCAUUUUCAUCUUUCUAGCACACGGACCAAGGAAAAGCUUUGUUCCUACCCCAUCUUUCAUGUACCCACUUCUUACCCUCCACUCCCCAUAGGUAACUACCUCUUUCAUUUAUUUUUUUGAAUAUCUUUUCAGAGUUUCUUUAAAUAAUAUAAGCAACUUUAAGUAUAUACUCUUAUUCCCCCACAACUUUUAUAACACAAGGUAACACUCUAUACAUACUUUUAUGUCUUGAGUUUCUCACUAAAAAUAUCUUAGAUGAGGAUAAUGUCUGUCCUACCUGCCAGGUUCACAGGAUCAUUUCAGAAUCAACUUGAGGAUACAAAAAUUCUGAACUGAUUUACAAAGGCUCGGGAUCAUUAUGCAUAAGCGCACUCUGCAGUUGAGCUGACGGAAGCCCUGUAGAUCUGUCUCACCUAUUCUCUUUGCUCUCUCUGCAGUUAAUCAGGAUGUGCUCUCAUGGAGAAGGCAAGAUUAACUACUAUAACUUUGUUCGUGCUUUCUCAAACUGACCUGCUGAUGAGAAAAUGCAAGACAAUUUUUGAUAUUGGAACUGUGCUUUGAAAUACACCUUACACUCUUCAUAGAGGCAUUUACAGAGUUCCUGAAGUUUUAUUUCUGUUUUGGUUCUUAUUUCACUCCUACUGAAGUCGAAACUAAAUUGGAUCUAAUAGGAUCUAAGAUUGGUGCCUUAUUUAGGGUGAUAGGGGUAUAGCAGUGUCUAAUUUUGUGUGUCAAAUUGACUUGGCCACAGGGGGCCCAAAUAUUUCCUUUCUUUCUUUUUUAAAAAAUAUUUUAAAUUUUUUUAGAGAUGGGAUCUCACUGUCAUACAGGCUGGAGUGUGGUGGCACU